rnacentral:rRNA from 1 species
AACGAACGCUGGCGGCAUGCCUAACACAUGCAAGUCGAACGAAGCCUUCGGGCUUAGUGGCGCACGGGUGCGUAACGCGUGGGAAUCUGCCCUUGGGUUCGGAAUAACAGUUAGAAAUGACUGCUAAUACCGGAUGAUGUCCUCGGACCAAAGAUUUAUCGCCCAAGGAUGAGCCCGCGUCGGAUUAGCUAGUUGGUGAGGUAAAGGCUCACCAAGGCGACGAUCCGUAGCUGGUCUGAGAGGAUGAUCAGCCACACUGGGACUGAGACACGGCCCAGACUCCUACGGGAGGCAGCAGUGGGGAAUAUUGGACAAUGGGCGAAAGCCUGAUCCAGCAAUGCCGCGUGAGUGAUGAAGGCCUUAGGGUUGUAAAGCUCUUUUACCCGGGAUGAUAAUGACAGUACCGGGAGAAUAAGCCCCGGCUAACUCCGUGCCAGCAGCCGCCGCAGUAA